rnacentral:rRNA from 2 species
AGUCGAACGAGUUCUCGUUGAUGAUCGGUGCUUGCACCGAGAUUCAACAUGGAACGAGUGGCGGACGGGUGAGUAACACGUGGGUAACCUGCCCUUAAGUGGGGGAUAACAUUUGGAAACAGAUGCUAAUACCGCAUAGAUCCAAGAACCGCAUGGUUCUUGGCUGAAAGAUGGCGUAAGCUAUCGCUUUUGGAUGGACCCGCGGCGUAUUAGCUAGUUGGUGAGGUAAUGGCUCACCAAGGCGAUGAUACGUAGCCGAACUGAGAGGUUGAUCGGCCACAUUGGGACUGAGACACGGCCCAAACUCCUACGGGAGGCAGCAGUAGGGAAUCUUCCACAAUGGACGCAAGUCUGAUGGAGCAACGCCGCGUGAGUGAAGAAGGCUUUCGGGUCGUAAAACUCUGUUGUUGGAGAAGAAUGGUCGGCAGAGUAACUGUUGUCGGCGUGACGGUAUCCAACCAGAAAGCCACGGCUAACUACGUGCCAGCAGCCGCGGUAAUACGUAGGUGGCAAGCGUUAUCCGGAUUUAUUGGGCGUAAAGCGAGCGCAGGCGGUUUUUUAAGUCUGAUGUGAAAGCCCUCGGCUUAACCGAGGAAGCGCAUCGGAAACUGGGAAACUUGAGUGCAGAAGAGGACAGUGGAACUCCAUGUGUAGCGGUGAAAUGCGUAGAUAUAUGGAAGAACACCAGUGGCGAAGGCGGCUGUCUGGUCUGUAACUGACGCUGAGGCUCGAAAGCAUGGGUAGCGAACAGGAUUAGAUACCCUGGUAGUCCAUGCCGUAAACGAUGAAUGCUAGGUGUUGGAGGGUUUCCGCCCUUCAGUGCCGCAGCUAACGCAUUAAGCAUUCCGCCUGGGGAGUACGACCGCAAGGUUGAAACUCAAAGGAAUUGACGGGGGCCCGCACAGCGUGNGCAUGUGGUUUAAUUCGAAGCAACGCGGAGANCUUACCAGUCUUGACAUCUUUUGAUCACUGAGAGAUCANGUUUCCCCUU